rnacentral:rRNA from 1 species
UACAGAGGGUGCGAGCGUUGUUCGGAAUUAUUGGGCGUAAAGCGCUUGUAGGCGGCACGUCAAGUCGCGUGUGAAAUCCCCAGGCUUAACCUGGGAAGUGCGCGCGAAACUGACGAGCUUGAGUGCCGGAGAGGGUCGCGGAAUUCCCGGUGUAGAGGUGAAAUUCGUAGAUAUCGGGAGGAACACCAGUGGCGAAAGCGGCUUCCUGGACCAGAACUGACGAUCAGGCACGAAAGCGUGGGGAGCAAACAGG